ensembl:ncRNA mir-4984 mir-4984 stem loop
CUUCGCUCGAGGUGUGAAAACCUUUUGGCCAGCGAAUACGCCUCGGAUCCAAUCACGUUUCAAGAUCGAGGUGAAUUCUUUGACGUAUUCGCUGGCCAAAUGACACGUUCGCCAUGUUUUGCG